UUGGUUAUAGAGAUACCUAAGUGUCUCUAAUUGGUUACAAUAGUUCCGCGCACGCUACGAAAAAUAUGACGGCUCGUAUUAAAAUCCUCUUUAGAUGUGAUCGAGCAUUGGCAGGAGAAAAGUGGGAGCAUUGCGAUGCGGUUCAGUGCUGGUAAGAAGAACGAAUCCAUCGAUUACAUUUCUUACAUCUAACAAUUAGAGAUUUAACAAUGGUAAAGGUAUCUUCAGGUAUCUCAAAUUAAUUUAAUGCUAGAUAUUAUUGUCUAGAUAUGUCAAUUGUUUAAAUAUACCAUCAAUGUAGUUUAAUCUGAUCCACUCCUAACACGCAAACUAUUUACAUAAAUUAAAAGGCUGUAGGCACAUUAAAAAUACAUAAAGAAAAAAAAAAAAA